GAGUUUGAUCUUGGCUCAGAACGAACGCUGGCGGCAUGCCUAACACAUGCAAGUCGAACGAGACCUUCGGGUCUAGUGGCGCACGGGUGCGUAACGCGUGGGAAUCUGCCCUUGGGUUCGGAAUAACAGUUAGAAAUGACUGCUAAUACCGGAUGAUGACUUCGGUCCAAAGAUUUAUCGCCCAGGGAUGAGCCCGCGUCGGAUUAGCUAGUUGGUGAGGUAAAGGCUCACCAAGGCGACGAUCCGUAGCUGGUCUGAGAGGAUGAUCAGCCACACUGGGACUGAGACACGGCCCAGACUCCUACGGGAGGCAGCAGUGGGGAAUAUUGGACAAUGGGCGAAAGCCUGAUCCAGCAAUGCCGCGUGAGUGAUGAAGGCCUUAGGGUUGUAAAGCUCUUUUACCCGGGAUGAUAAUGACAGUACCGGGAGAAUAAGCCCCGGCUAACUCCGUGCCAGCCGCCGCAGUAAC
rnacentral:rRNA from 1 species